rnacentral:rRNA from 1 species
AAGGAACACGGCAAAAUGGCCCCGUAACUUCGGGGGAAGGGGUGCCACCGCAAGGUGGUCGCAGUGAAGAGGCCCAGGCGACUGUUUACCAAAAACACAGGUCUCCGCUAAGUCGCAAGACGAUGUAUGGGGGCUGACGCCUGCCCAGUGCCGGAAGGUUAAGGAAGCUGGUCAGCGCAAGCGAAGCUGGCGACUGAAGCCCCGGUGAACGGCGGCCGUAACUAUAACGGUCCUAAGGUAGCGAAAUUCCUUGUCGGGUAAGUUCCGACCCGCACGAAAGGCGUAACGAUCUGGGCGCUGUCUCGGAGAGAGGCUCGGCGAAAUAGAAUUGUCCGUGAAGAUGCGGACUACGUGCACCCGGACAGAAAGACCCUAUGAAGCUUUACUGUAGCUUGGUAUUGUGCCCGGGCUCUGAAUGCGCAGGAUAGGUGGGAGGCUUUGAUCCAUUGCUUGUGGGUGAUGGUGAGCCAACGGUGAGAUACCACUCUUUCAGAGCUAGGGUUCUAACGGUCACCCGUUAUCCGGGGACCGGACAGUAUCAGGUGGGCAGUUUGACUGGGGCGGUUGCCUCCUAAAAGGUAACGGAGGCGCGCAAAGGUUCCCUCAGGCUGGUUGGAAAUCAGCCGAUGAGUGUAAAGGCAGAAGGGAGCUUGACUGUGAGACCUACAAGUCGAACAGGGACGAAAGUCGGCCUUAGUGAUCCGACGGUUCUGAGUGGAAGGGCCGUCGCUCAACGGAUAAAAGUUACUCUAAGGAUAACAGGCUGAUCUCCCCCAAGAGUUCACAUCGACGGGGAGGUUUGGCACCUCGAUGUCGGCUCAUCGCAACCUGGGGCUGAAGUCGGUCCCAAGGGUUGGGCUGUUCGCCCAUUAAAGCGGUACGCGAGCUGGGUUCAGAACGUCGUGAGACAGUCCGGUCCAUAUCCGGUGCAUGCGCAGGAAUAUUGAGAGGAUUUCUCCCUAGUACGAGAGGACCGGGAGGAACGCACCUCUGGUGUACCAGUUAUCGUGCCAACGGUAAACGCUGGGUAGCCAUGUGCGGAGUGGAUAACCGCUGAAAGCAUCUAAGUGGGAAGCCCACCUCAAGAUGAGUAUUCCCAUGGCGUUAGCCAGUAAGGUCACGGGCAGAACACCCGUUGAUAGGCUCUACGUGGAAGCCGGGUAACCGGUGAAGCGGAGGAGUACUAAUAGACCGAGGGCUUGAC